rnacentral:rRNA from 1 species
GACGAACGCUGGCGGCGUGCUUAACACAUGCAAGCCGAACGAUGAAGCUGGAGCUUGCUCCGGUGGAUUAGUGGCGAACGGGUGAGUAACACGUGAGCAAUCUGCCCUUGACUCUGGGAUAACUGCGGGAAACUGUAGCUAAUACCGGAUAUGAGAUCUGAAGGCAUCUUCGGGUUUGGAAAGAAUUCCGGUCAAGGAUGAGCUCGCGGCCUAUCAGCUAGUUGGUGGGGUAAUGGCUCACCAAGGCGACGACGGGUAGCCGGCCUGGGAGGGUGACCGGCCACACUGGAACUGAGACACGGUCCAGACUCCUACGGGAGGCAGCAGUGGGGAAUAUUGCACAAUAGGCGAAAGCCUGAUGCAGCAACGCCGCGUGAGGGAUGAAGGCCUUCGGGUUGUAAACCUCUUUUAGCAGGGAAGAAGCGAAAGUGACGGUGCCUGCAGAAAAAGCACCGGCUAACUACGUGCCAGCAGCCGCAGUAA